UACGGGGGGGGCAAGCGUUGUUCGGAAUUACUGGGCGUAAAGGGUUCGUAGGUGGCCUGCUAAGUCAGACGUGAAAUCCCUCAGCUUAACUGGGGAACUGCGUCUGAGACUGGUGGGCUUGAGUGCAGGAGAGGAACGCGGAAUUCCAGGUGUAGCGGUGAAAUGCGUAGAUAUCGGAAGGAACAUCAGUGGCGAAGGCGACUUCCUGGACCAAUACUGACGCUCAGGUGCGAAAGCGUGGGGAGCAAACGGG
rnacentral:rRNA from 1 species